CCUACGGGAGGCAGCAGUCGGGAAUAUUGCACAAUGGAGGAAACCCUGACGCAGCGACGCCGCGUGAAUGAAGAAGGAUUUCGGUUCGUAAAGCUCUAUCAUCAGGGAAGAAAAUGACAGUACCUCACGAAGAAGCCCCGGCUAACUACGUGCCAGCAGCCGCGGUAAUACAUAGGGGGCAAGCGUUAUCCGGAUUUAUUGGGUGUAAAGGGUGCGUAGACGGGAAGUUAAGUCUGUUGUGAAAUCCCGGGGCUUAACUGCGGAACUGCAUUGGAAACUGAGUGGCUUGAGUGCAGGAGGGGAAAGGGGAAUUCCUAGUGUAGCGGUGAAAUGCGUAGAUAUUAGGAGGAACACCAGUGGCGAAGGCGACUUUCUGGACUGUAACUGACGUUGAGGCUCGAAAGCGUGGGGAGCAAACAGGAUUAGAUACCCUAGUAGUC
rnacentral:rRNA from 1 species